AGUGAACGCUGGCGGUAGGCCUAACACAUGCAAGUCGAACGGCAGCACAGGAGAGCUUGCUCUCUGGGUGGCGAGUGGCGGAAGGGUGAGGAAUACAUCGGAAUCUACUCUGUAGUGGGGGAUAACGUAGGGAAACUUACGCUAAUACCGCAUACGACCUACGGGUGAAAGCAGGGGAUCUUCGGACCUUGCGCGAUUGAAUGAGGCGAUGUCGGAUUAGCUAGUUGGCGGGGUAAAGGCCCACCAAGGCGACGAUCCGUAGCUGGUCUGCGAGGAUGAUCAGCCACACUGGAACUGAGACACGGUCCAGACUCCUACGGGAUGCAGCAGUGGGGAAUAUUGGACAAUGGGCGCAAGCCUGAUCCAGCCAUACCGCGUGGGUGAAGAAGGCCUUCGGGUUGUAAAGCCCUUUUGUUGGGAAAGAAAUCCAGCUGGCUAAUUCCCGGUUGGGAGGACGGUACCCAAAGAAUAAGCACCGGCUAACUUCGUGCCAGCCGCCGCCGUAA
rnacentral:rRNA from 1 species